rnacentral:rRNA from 1 species
AGUGAACGCUGGCGGCAGGCCUAACACAUGCAAGUCGAACGGCAACACAGUAAGAUCUUGCUCUUACGGGUGGCGAGUGGCGGACGGGUGAGGAAUACAUCGGAAUCUACUUUUUCGUGGGGGAUAACGUAGGGAAACUUACGCUAAUACCGCAUACGACCUACGGGUGAAAGCAGGGGAUCUUCGCACCUUGCGCGAUUGAAUGAGCCGAUGCCGGAUUAGCUAGUUGGCGGGGUAAAGGCCCACCAAGGCGACGAUCCGUAGCUGGUCUGAGAGGAUGAUCGGCCACACUGGAACUGAGACACGGUCCAGACUCCUACGGGAGGCAGCAGUGGGGAAUAUUGGGCAAUGGGCGAAAGCCUGAUCCAGCCAUACCGCGUGGGUGAAGAAGGCCUUCGGGUUGUAAAGCCCUUUUGUUGGGAAAGAAAAGCAGUAGGUGAAUACCCCGCUGUUCUGACGGUACCCAAAGAAUAAGCACCGGCUAACUACGUG